AAUGAACGCUGGCGGCGCGCCUAAUACAUGCAAGUCGAGCGAGAAGACGUAGCAAUACGUUUGUAAAGCGGCGAACGGGUGAGGAAUACAUGGGUAACCUACCCUCGAGUGGGGAAUAACUAGCCGAAAGGUUAGCUAAUACCGCGUACGCUUCUUGGACUUCGGUUCAGGGAGGAAAGCGAUGCCGAGGGUAUCGCGCUCUUGGAUGGGCUCAUGUCCUAUCAGCUUGUUGGNGAGGUACGGCUCACCAAGGCUUCGACGGGUAGCUGGUCUGAGAGGACGAUCAGCCACACUGGCACUGCGAC
rnacentral:rRNA from 1 species